UACGUAGGGGGCGAGCGUUAUCCAGAUUUACUGGGCGUAAAGGGCGCGCAGGCGGCCUUAGAAGUCAGAUGUGAAAGCCCCGGGCUCAACCUGGGAAUGGCAUUUGAUACUCUGAGGCUGGAGUACGGGAGAGGAGAGUGGAAUUCCCAGUGUAGAGGUGAAAUUCGUAGAUAUUGGGAAGAACACCGGUGGCGAAGGCGGCUCUCUGGACCGUAACUGACGCUGAGGCGCGAAAGCGUGGGGAGCAAACAGG
rnacentral:rRNA from 1 species